ensembl:snRNA U2 U2 spliceosomal RNA
AUCGCUUCUCGGGCUUUUGGCUAAGAUCAAGUGUAGUAUCUGUUCUUAUCAGUUUAAUAUCUGAUACGUCCUCUAUCCAAGGACAAUAUAUUAAAUGGAUUUUUGGAGCAGGGAGUUGGAAUAGGAGCUUGCUCCAUCCACUCCACGUGUUGAAAAAAAAAAAUUAAUGACAAAAAAGUG